UAAUAAUAUAUUAAUGUAUAAUAAAACAAAAUAAAAGAAAUAGAAAAAGAAAAAGAAACAAAGUGAAACGAAACAGAAAGAAAGAAGGAAAGAAAGAAGGAGAAAGGAGAAAGCUAGGGUUUCAGUUGUUCAAAGCUCAACUGGUUAGUCAUUUUAGUCCAUUUUCUUGUAAUUUUUAUGUUUUUGAAAUCCCAGUAUUAAAUACUACCCAAC
rnacentral:lncRNA from 1 species